GAUGAACGCUGGCGGCGUGCCUAAUACAUGCAAGUCGAGCGAACGGACGAGAAGCUUGCUUCUCUGAUGUUAGCGGCGGACGGGUGAGUAACACGUGGAUAACCUACCUAUAAGACUGGGAUAAAUUCGGGAAACCGGAGCUAAUACCGGAUGAUAUUUUGAACCGCAUGGUUCAAAAGUGAAAGACGGUCUUGCUGUCACUUAUAGAUGGAUCCGCGCUGCAUUAGCUAGUUGGUAAGGUAACGGCUUACCAAGGCAACGAUGCAUAGCCGACCUGAGAGGGUGAUCGGCCACACUGGGACUGAGACACGGUCCAGACUCCUACGGGAGGCAGCAGUAGGGAAUCUUCCGCAAUGGGCGAAAGCCUGACGGAGCAACGCCGCGUGAGUGAUGAAGGUCUUCGGAUCGUAAAACGCUGUUAGUAGGGAAGAACAUAUGUGUAAGUAACUGUGCACAUCUUGACGGUACCUAAUCAAAAAGCCACGGCUAACUACGUG
rnacentral:rRNA from 1 species